rnacentral:rRNA from 1 species
CAGUCGCCGCGGUAAUACGGAGGAUCCGAGCGUUAUCCGGAAUUAUUGGGUUUAAAGGGUGCGUAGGCGGACAGAUAAGUCAGUGGUGAAAGACGGUGGCUCAACCAUCGCAGUGCCGUUGAUACUGUUUGUCUUGAAUAUGGAUGAGGUAGGCGGAAUGUGGCAAGUAGCGGUGAAAUGCAUAGAUAUGCCACAGAACACCGAUUGCGAAGGCAGCUUACCAAGGCAAUAUUGACGCUGAGGCACGAAAGCGUGGGGAUCGAACAGGAUUAGAUACCCGAGUAGUCCCUGUCUCUUAUAC